rnacentral:rRNA from 1 species
AGCGAACGCUGGCGGCAGGCCUAACACAUGCAAGUCGAACGAACUCUUCGGAGUUAGUGGCGGACGGGUGAGUAACACGUGGGAACGUGCCUUUAGGUUCGGAAUAACUCAGGGAAACUUGUGCUAAUACCGAAUGUGCCCUUCGGGGGAAAGAUUUAUCGCCUUUAGAGCGGCCCGCGUCUGAUUAGCUAGUUGGUUGGGGUAAUGGCCCACCAAGGCGACGAUCAGUAGCUGGUCUGAGGGGAUGACCAGCCACAGUGGGACUGAGACACGGCCCAAACUCCUACGGGAGGCAGCAGUGGGGAAUCUUGCGCAAUGGGCGAAAGCCUGACGCAGCCAUGCCGCGUGUAUGAUGAAGGUCUUAGGAUUGUAAAAUACUUUCACCGGUGAAGAUAAUGACUGUAGCCGGAGAAGAAGCCCCGGCUAACUUCGUGCCAGCAGCCGCCGCCGUAA